UACGGAGGGUGCAAGCGUUAUCCGGAUUCACUGGGCGUAAAGGGUGCGUAGGCGGCUCGGUAAGUCUGGUGUGAAAUCUCGGAGCUUAACUCCGAAACUGCAUUCGAUACUGCCGUGCUUGAGGACUGGAGAGGAGACUGGAAUUUACGGUGUAGCGGUGAAAUGCGUAGAUAUCGUAAGGAAGACCAGUGGCGAAGGCGGGUCUCUGGACAGUUACUGACGCUGAGGCACGAAGGCCAGGGGAGCAAACGGG
rnacentral:rRNA from 1 species